rnacentral:rRNA from 1 species
CCUGGUAGUCCACGCUGUAAACGAUGUCGAUUUGGAGGUUGUGCCCAUGAGGCGUGGCUUCCGGAGCUAACGCGUUAAAUCGACCGCUGGGGAGUACGGCCGCAAGGUUAAAACUCAAAUGAAUUGACGGGGGCCCGCACAGCGGUGGAGCAUGUGGUUUAAUUCGAUGCAACGCGAAGAACCUUACCUACUCUUGACAUCCAGAGAACUUUCCAGAGAUGGAUUGGUGCCUUCGGGAACUCUGAGACAGGUGCUGCAUGGCUGUCGUCAGCUCGUGUUGUGAAAUGUUGGGUUAAGUCCCGCAACGAGCGCAACCCUUAUCCUUUGUUGCCAGCGGUUCGGCCGGGAACUCAAAGGAGACUGCCAGUGAUAAACUGGAGGAAGGUGGGGAUGACGUCAAGUCAUCAUGGCCCUUACGAGUAGGGCUACACACGUGCUACAAUGGCAUAUACAAAGAGAAGCGACCUCGCGAGAGCAAGCGGACCUCAUAAAGUAUGUCGUAGUCCGGAUUGGAGUCUGCAACUCGACUCCAUGAAGUCGGAAUCGCUAGUAAUCGUAGAUCAGAAUGCUACGGUGAAUACGUCCCCGGGCCUUGUACACACCGCCCGUCACACCAUGGGAGUGGGUUGCAAAAGAAGUAGGUAGCUUAACCUUCGGGAGGGCGCUUACCACUUUGUGAUUCAUGACUGGGGUGAAGUCGUAACAAGGUAACCAAGGGCGAAUUCUG